UCCCAUGUGAUCUAGCGGUUAGGAUUCCUGGUUUUCACCCAGGUGGCCUGGGUUCAGCUCCCGGUAUGGGAA
rnacentral:tRNA from 1 species